rnacentral:lncRNA from 1 species
AAAGGACCAUUUUUCCAUUUUGGCAAAGGGGCAUAUAUACACGACAUAUACAGAUCAAAGAAAAAGGGGGUUUUCUUCAUUCACCAUAUUCAUCCUUUCUUUUUUAUCUUCGAACACGCGCACACACAGGAACUGGUCGAAAAAAAAAUGCACUACAAUCUCCAUUUAUUGGAUACAGGGACUGCACAGGGAUCUGGGGAAGUGCAUAAACACAUGCCAGAAAUGGGGUAGAUCGAGAAAGAGGGAGAGAACAGAGAGAGACGAGAGAGAAGAACUUGGUUAGAGAUCGAGUUUUCCAGCCACUCUUCAUCGAAAAUCACUGCACUAGUUUCGAUUUAACUCCGAAACCCAUUAAAAACUCAUCCAAACCAUAUCCAUCACUGAAAAAGUGUAUGGCUAACCCAAUAACGAAAGUUUCGCAAGAUCGAAUCGUUAAAACCAGCCCGAAAUCGAGCUGUUUCGGGUUGAUUCCGGUUGUUUUGAGUUCGGUUUCAGUUUGUUCAAGGUCACCUUUGGUCUGUUUGGGUUAGUAAGUUCGGUUUAGUUUCGGUUUGUUCAGUGUUAAUGUUUAAUACUCUCAAGUGGUUUUGUGGAUUUGGUAUUUGAAUGGGACUGCGAAUUUGGGUUGUUUAGCUCUGAGUUGGUUCAGCCAUUGUUGAGGUUUAUUUUUCGUUCAAUAAUUCGGGCUUUGGCUUCUCUCAUUCGUUAUUAUCGAUUAGAAUCUGAAUCUUUGGAGGUCCCUUUCUCAACUCUAUCCUUUUCUUAUGUUUUCGUAGUUGAAGAUGUGACUUCAUGAUGUUUUGAAUGUAUGUGAAUCCUUGUAAUUCGUGUGGUUUGAUUCAUAGACUUAUACUGAAAUUAAUUAAUGGUGUUGAUCGAAGAUGACUUGAGUUUAUGUUGGCAUAAAUGAAAUCUGGGUGGGAAUGGGAAAUUGAAAGGAUGAACACAGUUUUGUUUGUGACAUACUGAUCAUUGUUUAAUUCUGGAUAAAUAUUAAUUCUGAUCAUUGUGUUAAAAAUGGAUAGGCAAUAUAGGUUUGGGUAGGCAAAUUUUAGAAUUUGUUGUUUGGUUGAAUGUUUGAAUAUGGAAUAUUGGUUGAAUUUUUUUUCUAGUUUAUCGCAUUUGGAUCAUUUGUAUCAUUUGGCCAGGGAAUGCCCCGAAGUACUUUGUAUUGAUUUAUCUGGGGAAUGCCCUGAUGUAUCUUGUAUUUAGAAGAUGUUCGUGGUGAAGGCCCGAGGUGUCGGGUAAAACACGGGAGCGUAGUUAGAAUUAGUUUAGGUUAGCGUAGGUUUAUAUUUUUUUGUUUUUUUUAUAUAUCGGGUUGUAUAAUUGGACUGGACAUUACACUUUGGAUUAUUUUGUUUGUUGUUUGAUUUUUUUUGCGUACUUUUGUGUGAUUUAUACAUUUCGUAGUUUCAAAUUAGCCAAUAUACUUCACCAAGCGACCGUGGUCGAACCACGGGAUUGAGGGGUGCCUAACACCUUCCCCUCAGUCAACAGAAUUCCUUAACUAGAAUCUCUAUUCGCAAAUCAGUUUUAAAGAGUCAAACCAUUUCGAAAAGAAUUUUUCAAAGGUGACUUGGCACACUAGAUUAUGCCAAGUGGCGACUCUGAAUUUAAUUGUAAAUAAUCCUUUUUCGAAAUAAAUUUUUAUUUUUUGUCACUUAAAUAAUAAAAAUCCUUUCGAACCUUAAACCAUAUCUUUUUAGAGUUAAAAAAGAGGUGUGACAGCUCUGGCGACUCUGCUGGGGAAAAUUUUAGAAUUCGAGCUUUUUUUUGGGAGUCGCAUUGGCUUUGUUUGGCAUUACGAGUGUACAAGCAUUGUUUGUGAUUUUUGUUUCUGUUUUCACUUUUGUGCAUUUUUGUGCUCUUUGUUUACAAUAUUUAUCCUAUGUGUUACCGCUUUUAUCUCUGACAUCAUGUGCAUAACCCGAGUCAUUCUUUCCGCAACAAGUCUCGGAGCGCACGUCGUGCGCACGAACUCUAGUUGAGUCACCUUUAUUUUAGGGGGGGGAGCCUUGGAUGUAUGGAGUAGGUGGAAAGCUAAGCAAGGAGACUUACCUCUAAAGCAUUCCUACGUGCUAAAUGUUGCAUCUUUGAGGAUAACGUGGGUGGUCAUUUGACUGAUGUGGGGUAAAGCAUGUGUUAGAAGUAAAGUGUGUGAAAAAAAAACUGUUUUGUAGUUUUUAGAGUUCUUUAUGGCUUUUGUUUUUCACAAUUCAAAAAUUUCAAAAAAAAAAAAGUUUUUUUUCUUUUUACAAUAGGAGGUUUUAUAAAGGAAAAUGCAAAAAAAAAAAAAUGAUGGUAGAAUUUUUGUACAUUUCAUAUAACAAAAAUAUCAAAAAAAAAAAUCCUUUUAUUCCUUUACCACGCAUUCAUAAUUCGAAAAUUUUCAAAAAUUUUUUUUCUUUCAUAGUAGUUGGUGUCAAACUAAAAACCCAAUUUUUUUAAAUUUUUUUAUUAUUCAUCGGUCUUUGGUCGUGUCUCUUAAGUUAGGGUCAGUUUGUUAGUUAAUCUUUAUUUGUCCAAUUUGGACGAACUACGCAUACCUGAUUCCCGUCCCUCGGGGCGGGAUAUAUAGGCAACCCUCGGUGUGUCCCAUAAUAUUUAUUUUGGCCUUAGGCUAGGUCUUUUACCCUGUAACCUAGAGUUGUUAGCCAAGUAAGCUGAUUUUAUUCAGUGUUACUGUUCGGCAAUUUGGAGCCAUGAAGUGGUUUGUCUCAGCGACGUAUGUCCACAUCAAAUUCCCAUUGGUUGGGAACCUUUUGCUCUUAUCAAAUUUUUGAGAUAAUUUCUUAUCUACUACUACAGGAUGGAUCUGUCCACAAAGUCUAGAGUCCUUAUGGUUGUCAAGGUACCCAAAAAGUUGAUCAAGUGGUG